CGACAUUCAUCCCAAGGCGGCAAUUUUACAAAUAAAAUAUUUAGUUUCCCUCUCAUGCUCUCAAACCCAUUAAACCCUAAAAAUUUUAGUUUCCCUCUCCACCCUCAAACUGCAUAACCCAAUUCAACAAUUAGCGAGUGGUUCAAUCGGUGCUCUUCAACCACCAAAGCUGUUCAAUUGCAAGUUGCAAGCGGUUCAAUCGGUGUUUCAACCGACCUUCAAUCAUAGGUCAGUAAAAAAGAAAAUGUUUAUGUUCAUAAAAUGAAAUAUAUGUGAUUCUGUGUUUAUGUGAAAUGAUCUAGCUAUGUAGUUUUGUUUAUUUUUGAAGUUUAAAUGAAAAACCAGGUGCAACCAGUCAUAAUGCCAGCCGACUCUGGCACUAGCCAAAGUUAGCCGGUCGUAGCCCUAAUGUGUUUCGAAUAGAAAAUUUGUCGAUGGAAUUCAUGAUUUGAUUUAUAAAUUGUUUUGCCGUUCUUUGAUUUAGACUUAUGUUCAAAUCGAGACCUGAUUGUGGUCUGGAUGUUUCAUACAUCAUGAUUUUGACUUUUGGUUGGCUGAUUGACUUUGAAUUUAUUGGAACUUUGCUGUUCUUUGAAUUUAUUGUGCUCAACCAAGAUGUUCAAAGGGUUCUGUUAAUAAGGGUAAUAUCUAAAACCCCUUUUUUUAUAUAAUUUCCUAUCUUUAUAUUUAUACUAUGAGUUUUCUUUAUUUGUAAAUAGAUAUCUAAGUUUUAUAUUAGGUGUAAAAAAGUUGCAAUCGAAGGGGGGUUAUUAACAAUAUAUAAAAGUCUAAUUAGUCAUUAAGUUAGAGGGAUUUAAGUGGGAAACAGAAGAAAAAUGGCAGUAGUGUGUUGGUUUGGGUGAAGGCUACGCAGCAGGUAGUGAAAAGAGAAAUGGAGACCUCAAAAUUCUAUGUUUUCUCAAAUUAAGAUUAAAAUCAUCUAUAAUUAAAUUGGUAUAAGGGUAAUAGUACACUGAUACCUAAUUUGCUGGUUGAUUUUGACGGGGCUGUACUGCUAUGUGAUUAUCAUUUCAAAUGAUUGAAGAUCAAUUAGCUUUAUGUUACAUGUUGUGUAAUUAUACUUGCUUGGGAUAAUUCGCUAGCUAGCCAACGUUACAGUAUUAUUUUGAGAAUUUAACAUAUUUUGAGUCAUGAAGGACACUGGUUGUUGAUGAUGGAUAUAUGCCCAGGCUACAAUCAAAGUGGGGUUGAAACUAUGUAAGAAGAAUGCUAUCGUAACCCAAACCCAUCUUGACCUUCUUUUUAAUAUACCUAUUCUGACCAAAACUCAUCCUAACCCAAACUCAUCCUAACCCGUGACCCAAACCCGCCCAACUUACCCAUUUUGCCAGCCCUAGAAUGAACCAUGUAAGUUCAUAUGUCAUUUUUAUUUAGUUUGGGUGUGCCUUUGUUUAUUUGUCUUGUCACGUGAGGUCAGAGAGAGAUCGGUUGAGUGUUCUGAACUUCCAAUUUUGAUCAUUAGCAGCAGAUUAAAGCAUCAGAUUUGUUUGAGCAGCCCAUCAUCAAAAUCGGGUCAAAAUCAUUACAGUUGACCAAAAGCAUCAGAUGGUUAACAACAGUGAUCAGUGGUGCAGUUUACUGUUUUUGUUCGGUUCAACAGUGUUUCGGGUUUGACCAGAAACAGAAAAGUCAAGUGAUUUGAACAUCCAUAAUGCUACUGAACAAUAUUAGUUUACACAAAUAGAUGUUUUUUUAAAGGCACACAAAUAGAUGAUGUAUGAAGCAGUUUGUCAAACUUAAGACAUUAUGAAUUCAAUGAAGUGGAACAUGAAGCAAAAUAAUUUUAAAGGUAACAAAAUGCCAACCGUUGAACAGAAUAAUCUAAAGAGAGGGAAAAAAAUUGAACUAUUAUUGAUGAUGGCAUGUCAUUGCUAGAGUUCAAGGUCAACAUCUGCUCGGGUUGCUUUCCUCCUUUUUUCUCAGUCCUUUCACCUUGUUUUCGUCGAUUCACUAGUUCACGAUUCCACACUAAGGUAGUUUGCUUGCUUAGUGAUUUCAUCAAUAUAACGAUCUGAUGGAGCUUAUGAAAGCCUCUUGUAUUGUAAGCAUUGAAAUACAUAAUUUUUCUCUUUUUAAAUCUGUUGAUUUUGUAUGGUCUAGAGUAUGGAGCAUCUGUAUUCAGAGUAGGAUUUAAAUCAAAGUUAAUAGAGGUUGCAUAUGUAUAGUUUGGCUUAGUUGGAGGCAGACAUCAACACCAUUUAGGGUAGUGGAAACCCUCGCUGUAGAAGGCAGAAGGAGUAGAGGUAGACCUAAAUUGACUUAUAAAACUGAUUAAUGGGUAUGCUUAUAAACCAAACUGAUUAAAGUGAUGAGUUAAUUUUUUGGUAUGCUUACAAACUGAACUAAUUAAAAGAGAGUCAAGUUGAUGAAUGGUCGUUAAAGUGUACCAUAUCAUCUAGAGCCUUUAUAUACAUGUGUUGUCAUUAGUUUUUGUGUCUGCUUGGUCAUUAGUACAUACAACUUUGUUUGUUCUUUUACGACAUCAGUAGCAACAUCUUUAAACAGUGGUGAACGGAUUAGAUCAAGAUUUACAGGUCUAAUGGCAAACAAAAGUAGGCAAAAUCAAAGUGCACAAAGACAAAUCACCGAUUAUGAGAGAGAUAAGCUAUUAAGGGUUGAAGAAAGCAAUAAGAUAUUCCAGAGUCUGAUUUCUCACAAUUGUUACGUUUAUGGAGUAAUGACGAUGUGACGAAACGCUAUUUACGAGCCAAGGAAUCCCGCAUGUGUCAAAAAAAUAUGCACACAGCCGGUCCAAAAAGUUUUGCUAGGAUUUGUGAGGAGAUGAAAAAUGAUAACCCAAACCAAGAGUUUCCAACCUUAACCCAAUUGUUUGAACGCACGUGUAAGAGGACAAAAGGAGGUGUAUAUGUUGAUACAUAUGAUGACACGGCAAGAAAAAUUGAACAAAUGAAGAACUACAAGUCUACAGAGGAUGACAAUGCUACGGUAGAUCCUUUUUUGGUUGUAAUGAAUAAAGAAAACUAUGGAUACCACCGUCUUUAUGGUAGAGGCGUUACAAAUACAUUAGUGAAAAAGGUAGAUGGUUCUUGCACAUCAUACAUGAUUCCGGAAGGGCUGAUGUGAUGGAAUCAUUUAAAGCAAAUGUUGAAGUUAAGAAAAACCAGUUGCUGGAAAUGCGUAAAGAGAUUGAAGAGGAUCAUGAAAGAAAAAAGGCUGAAGCUAUGCAAAAAGACAUUGAUGGCCAACGACAAAACUUGGAAGCUAUGAUGAAGAAAGUUAUGAAACGACUGCCUGUUGAAGAUCGAGAUGAGUAGAAUGUUUCCAUUUCUUUUUAUUAUUGUAUUGAAACUUUGUGUUGACCAUAUUGUUAUUUAAGUUUGAACAAGUAUGUUAAAGUACACUAUUCUCUAUCAAUGAUAUUUGUCAUUAUUUG